rnacentral:rRNA from 1 species
AACGAACGCUGGCGGCAGGCCUAACACAUGCAAGUCGAACGCCCUAGCAAUAGGGAGUGGCAGACGGGUGAGUAACACGUGGGAACGUGCCUUUCGGUUCGGAAUAACCCAGGGAAACUUGGACUAAUACCGGAUACGUGCGAGAGCAGAAAGAUUUAUCGCCGAAAGAUCGGCCCGCGUCCGAUUAGCUAGUUGGUGAGGUAACGGCUCACCAAGGCGACGAUCGGUAGCUGGCUGAGAGGAUGAUCAGCCACCACUGGGAC